GAUGAAGAACGUAGCGAAAUGCGAUACUUGGUGUGAAUUGCAGAAUCCCGUGAACCAUCGAGUCUUUGAACGCAAGUUGCACCCGAAGCCAUUAGGCCGAGGGCACGCCUGCCUGGGCGUCACACGUCGUUGCCCCCCCAUCUACUCCUUCGGGAUUGCGGGGGGCGGAUGAUGGCCUCCCGUGCGCCUCGUCGCGCGGUUGGCAUAAAUGCCAAGUCCUCGGCGACGCACGCCACGACAAUCGGUGGUUGCGAAACCUCGGUUGCCCGUCGUGUGCGGUCGUCGCGCAUCGAGGGCUCGAAAAAAUUGCCGGGCUCCGGCUCGGCUUUCAACGCGACCCCAGGUCAGGCGGGGUUACCCGCUGAAUUUAAGCAUAUCAAUAAGCGGAGGA
rnacentral:misc_RNA from 1 species